AGAAAGAAGGCAGAACUUGACUGGGGCAAACGAUUUCAAAUAAUUCAGGGGAUUGCAAGGGGGCUGCUCUACCUCCAUCGAGAUUCUUGCUGUAGUAAGCAACAUUCUCUUGGAUGAAAAGAUGAACCCGAAAAUUUCAGAUUUUGGGCUAGCACGAAUGUUUGAGGGCACUCAAGUUUUGGUGAACACACGAAAAAUUGUUGGAACACUGUAAGCUCUCUAGGCCUAUUUGAAUUAUCAAUUCAUUGAGUCAAACUCUUCAAGCAGACAGAAAUGAUUGAUUUACCACAACGAACAUCUCUGUUCAUGCAUGUUUUAUCCCCAUUGUCUAUCGAUACAAUCAAAGAGUACAUAAUGUGUUUAACUUAACUGCAGUGGCUAUAUGUCUCCUAAGUACGCCAUGGGUGGAAUAUUUUUCGAGAGGUCUGAUGUCUAUAGCUUCGGAGUGUUGCUACUGGAGAUAGUAAGCGGCAAAAAGAACACGUCCCUGUAUGACUAGGGAUAUCUGAAUCUCCUUUCCUACGUAAGUCCCAAAUUGCAAACUUAAUCAAUAUCAUAAGUUUGCUGCAAUAUUAUGACAGUGUUCUCACUUACAGGCAUGGCAAUUGUGGAGUGAUGGCAAAGCAUUGGACCUAACGGAUGUAGCAAUGGCUGUUAGCUCUCCUUUGGAGAUAACAAGAUGCAUCCAUGUUGGGCUUCUCUGUGUUCAGGACCAUGCCGCGGAUAGACCAAACAUGUCAAAUGUGGUUCUGAUGUUAAGUGGCGAGUCAAAUCUUCGUUAGCCGAGGCAGCCUAUAUUCACUUUCCAAGCCGAAAUGCCAAAUCGUUCUAUUCCAUCACAGCAAGAAAGCAUCCGGUUUGUUAACACUAUCACCAAUACAUUGGUCAAAGGAAGAUGACGACUAUUUAUUUUCAUUUUUAUUUUCCUUUUUUUGGAGAUUAUUUUCUUAUUAUUUUUUAAGAUUUCAGCGUUUAUUCAAUUCAAGGAUGACUUUAGUCCACUCUGAACAAAAGGUCGAACGGGCUGCUCCCCUUUAUAUAUGGAUUUUAGGCUGCAAAGUAGGGGUUUAGAAUGUACACUUUUUUGACCGAACAUAAUCGACGCAGCAAUUUGUUCUAAUUUAUAGUAGCCAGAACAGUUGUUAUAAUUAAGGAGAACUACCAAGUAAUUGCCAUCACUCUCCUCACCAGUUGCAUUUUGAAGAUUCGAUUUCCUGGGUUUUUGGACGAAAGAUAUCAUUACCAAAGACUAAAGUCCCCCCAAGAGAAGCAUGAGCAUUGGCGCAGGACAAAGUAUUUCCAGCUUCAGCUUCAGUAUGAUUCCCAAAUAUGUUUUACCUUCUUCAGAUUUGAUAAGAAGUCAUCUAUACCUGCGGCAAUUAAAUGUCAACUAGUCAUCAAUUCAAUGACUGAACAAUUCAAUUCGGAUAAGCUUCGAAUGAAAAUGGAAGGCUAAUGUCAGCUAGUGAUCAAAAUCGGAGCCAUGUUAUCCUUAAACUGAAGAGAUGAAGAGUUCCUGGUUUGCCUGGAACCCACAUAAUAUCUAGCUUAAUUGAACAUUAAACUUGCGGGGAAAAUUAUCUUAUUAAUCCUAAACCUAUUGUAGAAAUGCAAAUUCAAUCCUAAUAUUUUCACUUUUUUGCAAAUUCAUUCUUGUGCAAAAUUAUAAUAUAGUCAUUUUGGACAUUUUUUGUUGGAAAUCGCUGGCAUGCCACGUAGGACGACGAUGGCUUGAUUGCUACAUUAGUGAUUUCUAGCAAAAAUUAGCCGGAAAGACAACGUAUUUCACAUAAAGGUUAAAUUAGCAAAAUGGAAAAGUUUUGGAUGGAAUUGAUAUUUGUAUAAUAAAUUUAGGAUUAAUUGGACUAUUUCCGGGAAACUUGUGUUAUUGCGUUGACAAAACAUUUGGCCAACAAGUUUCAUCAGAAGCUGCUUUCACCCCUCUUAAUGUUUGUACAUUUUAAAGUACAGUCAAAUUUGAACAACGGUCAAGAGAAGAACGCCGAUUUUAUUGGCUUCUCAGCCCAAACAACAGUUUUAAAAAGUCAACGUUUGACUCACGAUGAAGCUUCUAUUGCAUAAUCCAUACUGAGUUGUCAAACUACAAUGACAUCCUGAUCUCUUGGCAUUCUGGAAGUGCAUAUGAACUGGCAUAGGCAUCAUCAGCUUCCAAUAUAAAGCUAAUUUUGUACUAUAGCAAGAUGGCUAAAGCUAUCUCUAAGAGGAUUUAUGGCCUCACACCUUUGGCAAAGUGCAUCGGUUUGCAGAAAUCUCGCCUUCCUAUCAGAUUUGCAGGCAAAACCGAAAGGCAAAGAAUCGGGAGCCUCUUAACAUCCUGAAGUAAGCAACAACCAAACACAGUUGGCUCCUAUUACAAUGUUGCUUAGGAUGUGUCUCUCCGCUUCCUUGGUCAUGGUCUUCCUUCUUCUGGCACAUCAUAGCACUGCAGUUUAUAAAAUUACUGCAGCCGAACCGCUCUUUCAGAACCAAACUCUUUUCUCCUCUGGUCAAACCUCUAAGCUCGGUUUCUUCACCCCCAACCAAUCAGCUAAUCAAUAUGUGGGCAUAUGGUACAAGAAUGCGUCUCCUUCCAAGAUCAUCUGGGUCGCCAGUAGAUAUACGCUGCUUGCAUAUUUAGAUCACUCGGCAAAAUUAACAAUAGGCAGGGAUGGGAAUUUGAAGCUUGUGGAUGAGCAACAGAAGGUAGUUUGGUCCACCAAUGUUUCUGUUCAGUCAAACUAUACUACAGCAAUGCAUUCAGAUGUAGGAAACUUUGUUCUACAAGAUGGGAAUUCCAUUGAAAUAUGGGCAAGCUUUGAUGAUCCAAUUGAUACUUGAUAAAACUAGUACUAACACUUAGAGAGGGGUAAAUAAGUAUUUGAAAGAAAUCUUCAAAUAAAAUAAAUUUCUUGCAAAGUCUAGAAGAAAAUCAGAAUCACAAGAUUCCAGACUUCUCCAAUAUUCGGAAAGUGUGCAACGGACUUUAAAUGAAGUGGAUAAAGAGAAAAAAGUGCACGCAAAUUUUUUUAGAUCAAGCCUACGUCCACUCUUCUAUAUUGACAACCUACUUAUUGAAUUCCACUAUAUGAUCAAUUAAGAAAUUACAACUUGGUGAGUAAACAAUCAAUGGUAGAAAAUUUUCAAUUUGUUUUCUCUCUAUAUCACACCUUUUAAAGCUCAUAGAUGAAAACUAAUAACAUGAGAGUAGCUUUAGACUUUGGAAUCUCAAAUUCACGUUCCCACACCGAAUAAACUCCUUUCAAAACUCCUUCACCCCAUACUAGCCAUUGGUAAUCUUCGGAGAAACUUUCUUCUAAUCAAGUCCUUGGACAAAAUCAAUUAAAGGAAUCUUGUGGCUAUUGAAGUUAGGAAUAAAAAAUUUCACCUGAUUAUGUUCACUCAUAUAAUCAGAAUCUCGAUUUUUAUAAAUAGAUACUUCCCAAAAAGAAAGUUGUUUUUAAAAUUGGUUUCAUCAAUUUGUGAUUGAAUUUAUAAGGUAAGUGAAAUCCUUCGUUAGAAAGCUAGAUCUAUUCUGGUGCUGCAGCAGGGGGGCGGAGACUGGCUCGGCAGAGGGGGAUUGGGAGUCGCAAGUGCUGCAGUAGGGCGCGGAGGAGCGGCAACCAGCGCGGCGAGGGGAUCAGGCUGCUGGCGCGGCGAUCGUCGCGGCUGCCGGUGCGGCAGCGGCGUCGGGGGGCUCGGACUGCAAAGCAAGGGCGGAGGUGAGGCGGAGCUUCGGCCGCUGGCGUCGGCAGCAGCGGCGGCGAGUGCAGGGGGGGGGGGGGGGGCGGCGUUCCGGCGCGGCAGAGCGGGGCUGCGUGGCGGUGCUGCGGGCGGAGAUGGUGGGCAGCGGCGGCGUCGCAGCUUCGGGCAGAGACGGUGACGCGAGCUCGCGCGUGAGGGGAGAGAUCCGGCGGCAGACGGAACGGCGGCCGACUCGGGCGGGCUGGCGGAGGGGCGGUGUGGCUCGGAGACCGGCUGAGGAUGGCUCGGAGCGGCGGCACAGGGGAUCGGCCACGGCGGCGGAGGAGCUGGCGAAGAAGAACAGUGCUUUUUAUUUUUUUCUGUUUUGUGUUUUUUUCUUUUAUUUUUUCUCACCCUCACGUCACUCUCACGUCCCUUCUCUCAGUUCUCUGUUGCACCCGCUCUCUGCACUCUUUCAAAAUUUCAAAACCCCACUUUGGUGUUGACUUUGACCCAAAAACCAGAGAAAACCCCAAAAAACGAAAAUAGAACCCCCACUAUGAAGUGAUAAAAAGAGAAGACCACCCCACCCCCCUUGUCCGUACGCGACCCGGCUUUUAUAAGUGGGAGACUUAGUUUUUGUGAAAUAUUUUAUUUCCUUUUUCAAUAUGCAUGAAAAUCAAUUUUGCUUAUGCUUAGCCUCCUUGAAAUAUAUGCACUCACUCGCAAUAUUCUCUUUUAUCUUUUUUCUAAUAUUUCAUCCGAAAUCUUCCUUUUUGCCAAAAAAAAUAUGUCCAUCGAUGUAUAUUACCUGAAUAUAUGAAAAAUCUCCUGUCAUAUAAUUUAAUAUUGGAAAAUUUAUUGUUCAUCUAUCGUCAGUCCAAUGCAAAUGGAAUAAAGUAAAAUAAAAUAAAAUAAAUGCUCCUAAAACUAUAUGUUAUGCAAUUAAUUCUAAUAUUUUUGUUUAGGGGUAAAUAUUAAUCCUUAAUUUUUAAUGCGAUAAAUAAAUGACUUGGUCGCUAAAAAUUUAGGUGUCAACUGGAACCUUCACUCGUGUUCUCUCGCCAACCCAAAUCACAUGGCCUUAAGUCAUUUCAUUGCACCACACAUGGACUUUGUUCGAUGUCUUGGAUGACACGUAAGGAAUCUGAAUUUGUGGACCAAAAUGUGUAACUGUGACGCUAAGUCAAAUUUGAACAGCGGCAAGGAAUAACCCUCACAUCGAACAGUCAAUGAAGAAUAGUUUCGUUCGUUUCAUGGAAAAUAUUCUCUAGAAAGUCAUUUUCUUGAAAAAUGAUUAUAUUUUCCGGUAUUCGAUUCAAACCUGAACUUUGAGUGGAAAAUAUUUUCUACCGUUCGUUAGUUAAUUUAAUUAUUUGGAAAAUAUUAUGAAAAAAUUAAAUUUUAAUAUUUUUAAUUGACCAAAAAUUUAGUUUUAUUUUUAUAUUUUUAAAAAUGAAUUUUAAUUAUUUGUAUUUUUAAAAACUCAUUUUUUGUAUUUUUCUUUUUUCCUUCCUCCUUCCUCCUCCUUCCUCUGCCGUUGCAUGCCUGAUGAGCCGACUGCUCGGCAACUGACCAAGACCCAGUUGCUCGAUCCAGCAAGCUCGAGGCUAGGCCGAUCUCACCAGAGCUCGAGGUUCGGCCGAUCUCACCAGAGCUCGAGGUUCGGCCGAUCUCGCCCGAGCUCAUUGGAUUUGGCAACAAAGCUCGGGCUCGCCUAAAUCGGGAGCUCAAGCUCCAUCGCCAGAUUCGAUGAGCUCACGGCUCGCCAAAGCCCAACAAACCUCUGGAGAGCUCGGGCAAGUCCCAAGCCUUGCCCAACUCGCCAGAUCUGGUGAGGCCCGAGCUCACCGGGCUCGGGCAAGCUCCCGCUUCACCAUAUUGGGCUAGGCGAAGCCUCGCCGGCCUGGGGUGAGGCUUAAGCUGGCUCGCGGUUGGUCGCCAACCGCCGCUGUGGCCGACGAUCGGCCAAGGCCAACGAAGGAGAUGAAAAGGAAAGAAAUAAAAAGAAAAAAAGAAAAGGAAAAAAAAUUAAAAAGUCGAUUUAAAAAAAAGAAAAAAGAAAAAAACAAAGAAAAAGAAAGCAUAGAAAAAAAAUGAAAAUGUAUUGGUGAAAAAAAGUAAGAUGGAAGAAGUUAUGAAAACUUUCGAAGGUUGUCUUUUUCAAUAAUGAAAAAUAUUAUUCUUAACUAAUUCAUUUUCCGUAAAACGAAAAUUGGAAAAAGUAUUGAGUUGACGUACAAUCACUUGAAAUUGGUGCUUAGACCAGAAAAGAUACUAAAGAUUUGGCUUUCCUCAGCACGGCUGAGUUUACGUAUGGAACCUUCACCCGUGUUCUCUCGCCAACCCAAAUCACACGGCCUUAAGUCAUUUGAUUGCACCACAGUUGGACUUCGUUCGAUGUCUUGGUUAACAAGUAAGCAAUUCGAAUUUGUGAACUGAAAUGUGAACUGUGACGCAGUCAAAUUUGAACAACGCCGGGGAACAACCCCCACGUUGAACAGUCAAUGAAGAUGUGGUCUUCUGAAAACCCUCGUGUUUCAGCCCCCUUUGAGCACAAAGGCCUCUUUGCUCACAGGAAAUCUCGUUCAUCUAUCCUUAAAUCUGCAGAAAGUGCAGAAUCAACCGAUCCAGCGAACUCACUAGGUUCAUUCAGUCAUUCUUACCAUGCGGCUCUUGAUUUCUUGGUGCUCUUGCUCGGUCAUCUUCUGCCUACUUCAGGCAAGUCAUAGGGCCAGCGGUGUAGCUUACAAUAUUACUCCAUCGGAGCCGCUCUUUCCGAACCAAACUCUCGUCUCCUCUGGCAAUAUAUUCGAGCUUGGGUUCUUCACGCCACGCGGGUCAGAAAAUCAGUAUGUUGGCAUAUGGUACAAGAACUUGACGCCUUCUAAGAUCCUGUGGGUGGCCAUGACAGAAAUUGAAAGGAAUGGAAAGGAAGAACCGAAGCUUUGUAUUUCAGUAUGAUUCUUGUACACAUUAAUUACACUAUUUGUAAUACAAGACUAAAGUGUAAAACAGGAAAGAAAUAUACAUUGAUUCUAAUUCCUAUUUUACCAAGUCAAUCAAUGAUUAAAUGAAGUAAUCAUUGAUACUCAGGAUCGAUGUUUCCCAAGUUAUCAAACCAUAUUUCCAACACUCCCCCUCAAGCUGGUGGCCUAUAUAUAUCGAGGACACCAAGCUUGCUCAAUAAGUAUGUAUGUUGUCUAUGGCAUAAUGGCUUGGUAAAAAUAUAUGCAAGUUGCUCCGUAGUUCCUAUUCCUCUUGUUGUGAUGACUCCUUCUCGAAUUUUGUCUCGAGUGAAAUGACAAUCGACCUCUAUAUGUUUAGUUCUCUCAUGAAAUACUGGAUUGGCGGCUAACUUGAGUGCAGCGUCAUUGUCACAGAAUAAUUUACUGGGUCCAUCGACUUGUACUCCAAGAUCUGCAAGCAAUCCUCGUAUCCAGAUUAUUUCACAAACAGUCUUUGCCAUAGCCCGAUAUUCUGAUUCUGCUGAUGAUAAUGACACGGUUGACUGCUUAUUUGUUUUCCAUGAGAUAAGAGAUUUUCCAAUUUUUAUGCAAAAACCAGUGAUGGAUCUUCUCGUCAUCGGACAAGUGACAUAAUCCGUAUCACAAUACGCCAUCAUUUUCAUGUCACAAUCUCGAGAUAAAAAAAUGCCAAGUCCUGAACAUCCCUUCAAGUAUUUUACCACUUUCAAGGCUGCAUUCAUGUGAGACUGUUUUGGCUUGUGUAUGAAUUGACUGAGUAUUUGCACAGCAUAACAUAUAUCCGGUCUUGUCAUCGUGAGAUAAAUCAGUUUUCCAACAAGUCGUUGGUAUACUGAUGGAUCUUCCAGUAGCGAAUCAUCGAUGGAAGGAGAUGAGCUUGAAUCAUAUUCAUGUGUUGUUAACUUUGUAUUCUGCUCAAUCGGGAUAAUUGCCGGUUUACAUCCUGACAAUCCUGCUUCAGAGACUAUUUCCAGAAUAAACUUUCUUUGACUGAGAGAUAUUCCUUUGUCAGACCGAGCUAUCUCAAUUCCGAGAAAAUACUUAGGAGAUCCCAAGUCUUUUAUAUGAAAAGUGGAAUGCAUAUAGCUUUUGAAUUUUGCAAUGGCUAGUUCAUUAUUCCCCAUGAUAAGAAUGUCAUCAACAUAUAUUAAAAGGUAAAUUGAUGAAGUACCUUCAGUCCAUGUGAACAAUGCAUAAUCAUGUUUGGAAUGCUGAAAACCUAUGUUGGUUAAAGCAGCAGUGAACUUGGCAUACCAUUGCCUAGAGGCCUGUUUGAGUCCAUACAGGGAUUUCCGGAGAUGACACACACGAGACUCCCCCUGUCUGCGUAAUCCCUGUGGAAGUUCCAUAUAAAUCUCUUCAUCCAGAUCUCCAUGCAAGAAAGCAUUGUUAACAUCCAUUUGAUGCAGUGGCCAGUUGCGAGAAGCAGCAAUGGAUAGAAAUGAGCGAACAGUGACUUCUUUGGCUACAGGAGAGAAUGUUUCAUGAUAAUCAAAUCCUUCCCGUUGCGUGAACCCCUUCGCAACUAAACGAGCCUUGUAUCGCUCAAUAGAUCCAUCUGCCUUAAAUUUGAUUUUAUAAACCCAUUUGCAGCCAAUAGGUUUCCGUCCUGUCGGUAAUGGAACAAUGUCCCAAGUAUGGUUCUCAUUGAGAGCCUUGAGUUCAGCUUCCAUAGCAUGUUGCCAUUUAGCAUCAUGUGCCGCUUCAGAGUACGAUGACGGUUCCUGUUCUUCAGAAAUUCUACUGAUGCAACACAUGUGUUCUGAUGACAAUCUACUAAAGGAAACAUAAGAUGAUACUGGAUACUGCGUACUUGGACAAUCCAACGUAGGACAUAUAUAAUCUUUUGUCCACGUAGGGGGUCGAAUAUGACGUCCAGAACAUCGAGGCUACUCAAUUCUGUUUUCUUCUGAUAAUACGGGAGAGGGACUCUGUUGAGUCAUCGACGAAGAGGCUGCUGAUGGAGAAUUUGAUGAAGGAUCUGUCUCAGGUAAAGAUACUGGUGAGUCGAUAGCUUGAUUAGAAUUAUGUGUCAUCAUCGGCAUAUGCUGUUCUGGUGCAAUGAAAACAUACUGAUGCGAAGCAAUGAGAUCUUCUUCUAACAAAAAAGGUCGAUGAUCUGACUCUGAAGUAGAGGAUGUCGACGUAGUCUCUUGAAAAGGGAAAAUAUCUUCGUGGAAGAUAACAUCCCUACUAACAAAAAAUUGUCCUGUAGAAAUCUCCAUAACACGGUAGCCUUUCUAUAGUGGGGGAUAUCCCAUAAAAAUACACCGAAUGGCACGAGGAUCCAUUUUACUUCGGUGACCCAGAUUUGCCGCAUAACACAAACAUCCGAAAACUCGAAGAUGAUCAAUUUCUGGUUGUUUUCCAUAAAGCAAUUCAAAAGGAGUUCGCCCAUUAAGAAUUCUAGUAGGCAUGCGAUUGAUCAAAUAGGCUGCAGUAACUACACAAUCACCCCAAAAAUCUUCAGGUAUGGAAGCUUGAUAUUUUAAAGCUCGAGCUACCUCUAAGAGGUGGCGAUGUUUUCUUUCAACAAUUCCAUUUUGUUGGGGUGUGUAAUUACAUGAACUCUCAUGUAAGAUUCCUUGAGAAGACAAGAAAGAGUUACAUUCCGCAGAAAAAAACUCACGUCCAUUAUCAGUGCGGAUCUUUUGGACAGGUUUGUCGAAUUGAUUUUUAAUGAGAGAUAGAAAAUUCGACAGUGUUGAAAAAGUUUGACUCUUGGAUUGCAUAAGAAAAACCCAAGUAGCUCGAGUAUAGUCAUCAACAAUGGUUAAGAAGAAUCGAGAUCCAUCACGAUGUGGAGUGUGAUAAGGUCCCCAAAUAUCCAUAUGUAGCAAGGAAAAAACACUAGUGGAUCUAGAUGUGCUAAUAGGAAAAUGUGUCCGAGAAUGUUUUGCCAAUGGACAAAUUGGACAUUUAGGAUAAGGAAAUUUUGCGGUAUGACCCAAACGUUGAUGAAAAACAAGAUUUUUAUUACUAGCAAUGGCAUUACAAGAAAUGCUCUUAUUGAAUAAUUCAAAAUUCCCUUGAGGAUCAAUCCAAAAAUAUAGCCCUUCUGCAACACUACCCAAGCCCAUCAGUCUGCCAGUCAAAAGGUCCUGAAAGAAACAAUCAUUGCGAUUGAAUAUGGCACGACAAGAAUUAUCCUCACAAGCUCUUGAGACUGAUAAGAGAUUGAACUCGAAAUCAAGAAUGAAUAGAACAUUUUUGAGAAUAAUAUCUGGACUAAGGUGGACAGUACCAAUUUUGGUAACAUGAGUGGUAUUUCCAUUUGGGAGGCGAACAAAUACCGAAGAAUAUGGCCUCUUUUGAAUACUAGAAAAUAACCGCUCAUUGCAAACUAUAUGAUCACUGGCACCCGAAUCAACUAUCCAUGUAUCAACUGAUAUUGAAUUUUCCUUGUAUGAAGAAGUACCUGAGAAAUUCGCAGCCUUAUCAUUGGUUGCUAGCUGAUUUAAUGCCUUCAUUAUAUUCUGAUACUGGUCUUGGGUAAUUAUAUGAUUUGCCCCAUCAGUCCUUCGUGCCGAAACCUGGUAAGCAGCAAUUUCUUUUUCCUUCUUAUCACCUGGCUUUCCAUGUAAUUUCCAGCAUGCAUCAAUAGUAUGAUGAGGACGCUUACAAUAUUCACAAUAUUUACCCUUAAUUUUGGAAUUUUGCCCAAUAUUUUUUAUGGAUGACGUGGCAUUUCGUGGGCCUCCGGAUGCCCUAUAUGCGGGCGCUGUCGUGGCCGAAUAGGGGCCGUUCGAUUCGGUCGGACUGGCGAGCCAAUAUGAGCCGUCCAAUCUCUUAUGAUAUGGACCGUUGGAUCCUAAAUCUUGGAUCAAACCACAGCCGUCCAUCUUGGUUCCAUCCCAGCCGUCCAUCUUAGGGUUUUCACCUAACCCAAGUCCAGCCCCAUUUCGUCCGCCCCCUCCUUGCCCAAAGCUCUCGGUUCCUCCACCUACUCCGCGCGACGUUUCCCCAGCAAUCCCGCGACCGCAAUGGACUCCGCGCGCCAUUUCUCCAGAUCUGAAGCUGGUCUGGAGAGCAGCAAGGGCGACUCCUUCGCCGGUUCUGCCAUGCUCAGCCGCGGCUUGCCGCUGGCUCUCCUCUUGGACCGCCAGUUGGUAGAUCCGGCCGAGCGAAGGUAACGGAUCCAUCGCCAAGAUCUGCGAUCGAAAAGGUGAGUAUGUGUCGUUUAGGAUAAGUAGAAAUCUAGUCACUUUUUCCCGCUGCUUAAUUUUUCGGUACUGUUGCAGCGUCGCUUCGGGUCCCUCGAGGCGUUCUUCGGCUGCCUCGAGCUCAUUCCAGAGAGCCGAGAGCCGAUUGAAGCAGGUAGUGACCGAUUGAUUCCCUUGUUUCAAAUCUGAAAUCGCCUGGGUAAUAGUGAAGAUCUUCGCUGGAUCGAGACGCCCAUACAUCUCUCGGAUGUUCGCCCAAAAAGUUUUCGAGUCCUCGGUCGGUGGUAGCCCCGCUGCAACGUCUGGAGCAAGCCAAUUUCCAAUCCAGGUACGCACUAAUUGGUUGCAUUUUUUCCAGAAACGUUGCAGUCGUUCGUCGGUCGGAUAGGGGACGGUGCCAUCAAGGAAACCGUCCUUGUCCUUCGUUACAAGUGCUCGCCGGAGGUCUCGAGCCCAGGCGUUGUAGUUGUCCUGUCCAGUGAGCUGCAUGUUGAUGAGUUUGAGUUCCGGUCCGUCGGCCGUCGUCGUGUGAAGAGGAUCUCCGGGCUCGGGACGGCCGCCGUUGACUGGAAACGCGUAGGUCAGAAACCCGGGGUGGAAACCGGGUUGUGGAACCGGGUGGGAAUCCGUAGGGAUGGAUCCAGGUCCUGCAGGUCCUGUUCUUGUCCAGCCCGACCCAUCGUUUGGGUAAUUCUCCCCAGAGGGUCCGCCUUGAAGGGGGUACCAGCCGAGGUAAGGCCACUGGAUCGGUCCUUGUGGUUGGAACGAUGACUGAGCAGGUAUCGAUGAAGCAGUGGCUGAUGAUCGAGCAGGUAUCACCCCUUCUUCUGUUGGGUCGACAAGUGCUGGAUCAAGGAUCUGUUGAGGUGAAUUGGAGGCUUCUUCCAUUUGUUGGUUUUGUCAAGGUUUUUUUUUAGAGCAGAGUAAAAGAAUUCAAUUCGGUGGCUGAUUUGUUUUGCAGGUUGAAGUCGCAACAGCAAACCAGAAAAGAACCGAAAAGCAAUUUGAAGAUGCGGAAGCUUAGGUCAGAAAAGAUCGCUCUGAUACCAUGACAGAAAUUGAAAGGAAUGGAAAGGAAGAACCGAAGCUUUGUAUUUCAGUAUGAUUCUUGUACACAUUAAUUACAUUAUUUGUAAUACAAGACUAAAGUGUAAAACAGGAAAGAAAUAUACAUUGAUUCUAAUUCCUAUUUUACCAAGUCAAUCAAUGAUUAAAUGAAGUAAUCAUUGAUACUCAGGAUCGAUGUUUCCCAAGUUAUCAAACCAUAUUUCCAACAGGCCAAUAGGGAGCGGCCACUUGUGUACACAGAUUGGUCUGCAAAACUAACGAUAGACAGUGAUGGGAAUUUGAAGCUCAUGGAUGGACAAGAAAAUAUAGUUUGGUCUACCAAUGUCUCUAGUCCGUCCAGUUAUACAUCGGCGACGCUAUUAGAUAGUGGGAAUUUUGUCCUGCAAGAUGGAAAUUAUAGCGAAAUAUGGGGAAGCUUCGAGGAUCCGACGGACACUCUUCUUCCAACAAUGAAGAUAGGAGUAAAUGUCAGGACUGGAGUGAAAAAGUCUUUAAUUUCCUGGAGAAGCGACAGUGAUCCAUUCCCUGGAAGUUUCUCGACUGGAAUGACAUCCGAGACGCCACCUCAAGCUUUCACUUGGAAUGGUUCGACCCCUUACUGGAGAAGCGGGCAAUGGGACAAAUCAAAAUUUAUCGGCAUAUCAACCAUGGACCAAUCAUACUCGAGUGGCUUCACUGUCCAGCAGGAUACUCAGCAGGGAACCACUAACUUUUCAAUGAAUAGAUACAAUUUCUUUGGAUACAUGUUCAUUUCUCCCGGAGGAUCUCUCAAGAUAAUGUACUGGGAUGAUGGAGCUAAGGCAUGGUUGAUGGAUUGGGCAGCACCGAACAAUACUUGUGAGAUUUAUGGAACUUGUGGUCCAUUUGGAGUUUGUAACUCACUGAAUUCGCCUAUUUGCAGAUGCAUAGAUGGGUUUGUGCCAAAGUCAAAUGAAGAAUGGAACAGUGGAAACUGGACCAGAGGAUGUGUAAGAGAGAUGGAAUUGAAUUGCCAGAAAAACACAAGCACAUCGACUUCUACAAACGUAAAGAAAGAUGCAUUUUGGCAAAUGAGCCAGAUGAAACUACCCGACUCUGGGAACUAUAUAUCAGACAUUGGAGAUGAAGAAGAAUGUGAAAGCUGGUGCGGGAGCAAUUGUUCUUGCUUGGCUUAUUCUUACGUCAGCACCAUUGGAUGCAUGGUUUGGAGUAAAGACCUCAUUGAUCUUCAGGAAUUUCCCACAGAUGGGGAAGAUCUAUUUGUUCGAGUUGCACAUGUAAAAGCAGGUUAGAAAUUGUUUCAUUAAGAUGAGUUUGAGUCGACACCAAUCAUCUUUUACAUAACUCUCUUUCCCAUUUCAGGAGGAUCGUGGCACAAAGCAGUUAUCAUCAGCCUAAGUACUAUUGCAGGGAUUAUGUUCUUUGCAGUAUUUGUUUUUGUUCUUUGCAAAUGGAGAGCUAACAAAACAGGUACACCUGAAAAAUCGACGGAGCUGACACAAGGAAAUGCAUGGAAAAAGCAGUUGAAGCAAGAUGAUUCACUGGAAUUGACCCUUUAUAGUUUUGAUAGCAUACUACUUGCUACAAACAAGUUCAGCACGACAAGUAAACUCGGGCAAGGAGGGUUUGGCUCUGUUUAUAAGGUAAGACCAUUCUGCAGGACAUUGUUAAUGAAAAUAUUUCAAGGUCUAAAAGCUAUGUGAAUUGCGAAACAGGGGAAGCUGAAAGAUGGGAAAGAGGUAGCUGUGAAAAGACUUUCCAGUACCUCAGCCCAAGGCGUUGAAGAGUUCAAGAAUGAGAUCAUCCUUAUAUCGAAACUCCAGCAUCGAAAUCUUGUUAAACUCGUGGGUUACUGCAUUGAAGGAGAAGAAAAGAUUUUGUUAUAUGAGUACUUGUCGAAUAAAAGCUUGGACACCUUUCUUUUUGGUUGGUCUUUUUUUUUUUUUUUUUUUUUAUCUCGGAUUAACUAUUUUUCUAUAAUGUAUUUUCUGCCAUAGCAUAUAAACUUGAAAACUAUUCCUGUCUGUCAUGUUUGUUAGAUUCAAGAAAGAAGGCAGAACUUGACUGGGGCAAACGAUUUCAAAUAAUUCAGGAGAUUGCAAGGGGGCUGCUCUACCUCCAUCGAGAUUCUUGCCUUAGGGUCAUACAUCGAGACUUGAAAGUAAGCAACAUUCUCUUGGAUGAAAAGAUGAACCCGAAAAUUUCAGAUUUUGGGCUAGCACGAAUGUUUGAGGGCACUCAAGUUUUGGUGAACACUCAAAAAAUU
rnacentral:lncRNA from 1 species